GCCUUAACGAUGGAUGUCUUGAUUCCUAUUGCGAUUAUGGCCAUAUUUCAACGUAUGAAAUGGAUUUUUUUUUUAAAAAUCAAUCCUAAAUAAUGAGGAUCAUAUUUGCCAAAAA